GACGAACGCUGGCGGCGUGCCUAAUACAUGCAAGUUGAGCGCUGAAGGUUGGUACUUGUACCGACUGGAUGAGCAGCGAACGGGUGAGUAACGCGUGGGGAAUCUGCCUUUGAGCGGGGGACAACAUUUGGAAACGAAUGCUAAUACCGCAUAAAAACUUUAAACACAAGUUUUAAGUUUGAAAGAUGCAAUUGCAUCACUCAGAGAUGAUCCCGCGUUGUAUUAGCUAGUUGGUGAGGUAAAGGCUCACCAAGGCGAUGAUACAUAGCCGACCUGAGAGGGUGAUCGGCCACAUUGGGACUGAGACACGGCCCAAACUCCUACGGGAGGCAGCAGUAGGGAAUCUUCGGCAAUGGACGAAAGUCUGACCGAGCAACGCCGCGUGAGUGAAGAAGGUUUUCGGAUCGUAAAACUCUGUUGGUAGAGAAGAACGUUGGUGAGAGUGGAAAGCUCAUCAAGUGACGGUAACUACCCAGAAAGGGACGGCUAACUACGUG
rnacentral:rRNA from 1 species